GCACCAGGCUUCGCGGGAGCGCCGCGGCCGCGGGGAAGCGGUGGCCGCAGCCGCCUGGGGCGCCGGCCUGCUGGAUGCUCCACCAGGGGAUGUCCUCGGGCGGCGGAUUGGGCGAGAGCUGCCGGCAAGGCUGCGCCGGAGGCAGCAGCAAACUCCUCAUCUUCACUACAGGAUUCUGUCCAAGGCUCCACUUUCACUUGCCAGUCAUCAAAACCACUGCUCUCAGUGGUGACAACCUCCCCUGCAGGAAGACCUGUGAGCUCUGCUACCAACACAGCUUCUGAAGCUCAGUAGUGCUAUCACCUAUAUCUCCUUGAUCUGUCACAUGGGAGCAUGAAUGCUUCUAUCACUGCAUGUGACCAAAUACAAUGACUGGAGAUCUCUGGCACGUGGCUCUCUACAACCCACUGCCCUUUGCAGAACAGCUGAGCUAUGGCAGCAUUGUAAGCAGUUGGAAGGAGCAGUAAAGCUGUCACCUUGUCACUGCAGUGUGGCACAGACAAUGAAGAAUCUGCCUCUGAUUCUUUUUGACAAAGAAGGAGACAAGAGAGAGACAACCAACGACCACCUUGAUCCUCAAUCCCCUUCCUGUGUGAGCAGAUGACAGUGACGUUUCCUGCAUGUUGUGGCUGAGUGGAAGAAAAGUUAGGGGUACCUGAAACACUGAACACUUCUGUGAAAAUGCCUAAGAGCCCUCAGGGUAUCAGCCAUAGCUCGAAAAUACCUUAUAAAAUAAAGUAUCCUUUAACCUAGUCAAAUCAAUACCUGUCAUAAACACCACAUUUCCUUUGAAAGUCUGUAUCAAUGUAUUUUUAGCUUGUCAGCAACCUUUCCAAGUACUAAGUG